AUCUACAGCCAUGCUACCCUGAACAAGCCUGAUCCCGUCUGAUCUCGGAAGCUAAGCAGGGUCAGGCCUGGUUAGUACUUGGAUGGGAGACCACCUAGGAAGACCAGGUGCUGUAGGCA
rnacentral:rRNA from 1 species